AGGCCUGUCACUGAGUCCCUAAUGUGAAUACUGUGGUCUGGCUUCCUCAGAGACUCUCACUCACCAGGAAAAGAUGUGGUUAGAAGUUAUGACGAGGAAGAGAAAGAAAGGAAUAACAGAAUAGGGAUUGAGGAAAUUAAGGUUCAGUGAAGUUAAGUAAUUGGCUCAAAGUCUCACAUCUAGCAAGGGGAGCCUGGAUUCAAGUCUAGCAAGUGGACCCUGGGGCUCACUGAUUUCAGAGGCCAACCCUGUCUCCUCUACGCUCAUGGAACAAAGGUGCUGGGAGAAAGCCAGUUUUCCAGGAAACUACUACUGCUUUAUCAACAAGAACCACUACUGUGAAGAAAUGGCAAAGAGAUGGAAAGUUGGGUUGCUUAGCACUUUGGCUAAAGUGUUUGGGAAGCAUAUGGAAACCCAAAACUAACCAGAGGUUAUGGCAUUACUUGUGAAUAUCUCUUCUCCCUGCUAUUCUCCUCCCCUGAGCACAAACUAUGUUCAUGAUGUAAGGACCACUUGAAAAUCCAUCCCAGCAUUUUCAGCUCAGAUUCAGAACUAACUGCCAACUGCCAACUGCCAACUGGUCUGCCCCAAUGGAACUAACAGAAGCUGCCAAUGGCCCUGCCCUGACCUCAUUGGGCAGAACAUCUUUCCUCUGAUACCACCUCGCUCCUGUCUUGGAGCAGGAGGUCCUCUCAUGUGCAGUCUAAGUUCGAAAGCAAGAAGGCAGCUGAGGCUUGUCCUUCUUUCUCAUCCCACUGUCUGUUUCAAUAUCAUAAUGAGUGUCUGUGAAGAGCUGCUGGCAGGGUCAGAAGCCAAGAAGAGGGCAUGCAAAGGAAUUAAAACCCUUGGGGUGGGGGGUGAGGAUCAACUGUUCCCUGGCCACAACCAGCAUCAAAAAGUACUACAACUUUUAGGGCUGAAAUGGUAGAAGCCAGUGAAGUCACAGAAAUGUAUUUGUUAGACAGACCCAGCUAGUGCAAGUGGAAAAGACAUGGAAAGCAUAAAUCACUGCACAAGUUUAGAGAUCAGUACCUUUCAGAAGGUGGUGAGUGGUGGAAGUUCCUGGAGUCUCUGUAUGCAAAGAGUGAAAUUAGCAGAAGGAAGGCCCUAGGAUUCAGGGUUUCUUUAUGGUAAUAUCAGAGACAUCCAGAGGAUGGAGACAAACCCAGAUCAUAACAAUGUUACCCUGAGAAUUUCUUUCUGGUUUCUGGCUUCAGAUUUAAGGUUAUGGUUGGUCGGUGAUUGUGUACAUUUACAGGUAUGCAUGUGUACAUAUCUGCCUUGGACUGUUGGAAGAUUUCCUCUGGGCUGAAGAUUGCUAGCUAGGUUAGAAUGUCAAGGAAGGUUACAGUUGCUUUUUCUCCACAUUGCCAAGAGGUUGGACUUCCAUAAAACACUAGUGGAUGUUUACCACAGUGUAGAGGCAAAGGCAGUGGAUUUACAUUUUAAUCUUGGCCCUGCCAAGCCUGAGUGCUCUAGGAGGAGCCAUUUAACAUUUCCGACUGUGCUCUAGAGAGUAAGCUAUCCUGCUGGAUGCUUUUACUGAUUAAGAGGGAGAAUAGCCAGAAAAAGACAUGUAAACUGUAAGAGCGAUUCUUACCUUCCAGUGGUGAUGGUGAUGGAUGAUCUUUACACUCCUGGGGUAUUGCUGCACAUCCUUGUCUAGAGCAAUUGUACACACAGAUAAUCCUUCCAGCUUUAGGAUCCU